CACUCCUGCGGGAGGCAGCAGUAGGGAAUCUUCGGCCAUGGGGGCAACCCUGACCGAGCAACGCCGCGUGAGUGAAGAAGGUUUUCGGAUCGUAAAGCUCUGUUGUAAGUCAAGAACGAGUGUGAGUGUGGAAAGUUCACACUGUGACGGUAGCUUACCAGAAAGGGACGGCUAACUACGUGCCAGCAGCCGCGGUAAUACGUAGGUCCCGAGCGUUGUCCGGAUUUAUUGGGCGUAAAGCGAGCGCAGGCGGUUUGAUAAGUCUGAAGUUAAAGGCUGUGGCUCAACCAUAGUUCGCUUUGGAAACUGUCAAACUUGAGUGCAGAAGGGGAGAGUGGAAUUCCAUGUGUAGCGGUGAAAUGCGUAGAUAUAUGGAGGAACACCGGUGGCGAAAGCGGCUCUCUGGUCUGUAACUGACGCUGAGGCUCGAAAGCGUGGGGAGCGAACAGGAUUAGAAACCCCGGUAGUCCCA
rnacentral:rRNA from 1 species